GUCGCUAUUCCCAACCUUUUAGCUGUCCUGCCCCUAACCCCAACCUUCUGCCAGAAGCACCAUAGCCCAAAUUUACCCGGUCGGCCUACCAGCUCAGCUCCCCUUAGCUGCAGAACCAGAGAUACAAGAAACCAGCUGGAAUCCAUGCCAGCCUUGGACUACUUGAGCUCUGAUAACUUACUGCUGACCUGCAGACAGCCUUUUCAUCUCACGUGAAGCCCACGUAUGCGAGUGCUUCUGGAGGCCAGAAGAGGGCAUCGAAUCCCAUGGAACAGGAGUUACAGGUAGUUGUGAGACUGUGUGGGGGCUGUGAGCUGAGCCAGCUUCUCUUCGAGAGCAGACAGUGGUCUUAACCCCGAGCCAUCUCUCUAGCUCCUGUUGAUGUCUUCCAGUUGAUUUUUUUUUUAAAACACAGGUGGAAUAGAGAACAUGAGGGCAUCCUUCCCUGAGCCCACAGUCCCAGACACUGUUCCCAGUAAGGCAUUUAGUAUUUUCUCAUGAAUAAUGAUGGUAAUUAUAAAUUGUCAUAGUUUGUCUUUCUGAU
rnacentral:lncRNA from 1 species